UCAGAGAAGACGAGGCUGGCUCAUUUCAUGCAACACAAUGUCCUCCAGGCCCAGCCCUGCUGUCAUAAUAGACAGAACUUGUCCGUUUUAGGGAUGAAUAAUAUUCCACACAUACCACCUUUUCUCUGCUGAAGGACACAUACGUGGAGCCCAUAUCUUGGCUACUGGGUACAAUGCCGCAUUGAACACGGACAAGCAGGCCCCGGCAAACCUAGGAGCCAACCGGAGAGCAUCAGGCCCCUCACUGCCUGCCCCAAGAGGCUGUGAGGCACCAUGGGAAACUCCCUGGCCAGGAGACGCAGGGCCCGCCUCGACGCCUUAUUUCCCCCCAGUGCCCAUGAAUCAGAAGAGGCCCUGCCUGCCACACAGCACUGCUUAGCAACCAAGUGAUGCCAAGUGCACAGAAGGCCUCUUCAUCACAGAGGGGACCACUGUCCCCCUGCCCAGGACCCCCAUUUCCCUGCCUUUCCUGUACCCUAAGGGUCACCAGCUCACUCUGCUUCAUUCAGUGGGCAGCAGGUGUGGGCAGCACAUUUCAUACCACAGACAUCUCUUCACCCAUAGUGGAUCCAGAGGUGACCAAGAGACCAGUGACCUAGACUUCGUACACAGAGCUCCUGCUAGUGACCCUGUCCUGUGUCGAGCGCCUACUGCCGUCUAGCCCGCGUCCAGGGUGUCACCUGCCUCCGGCCCUGUAGGAUGUUCAGCAGCUUCCCAGGCCUCUAACCUCCAUGCCAGUAAUGACCCCUCCCUCCAAAUGGUGACCAUCAAACAUGUUUCUAGAUUUUGCCAAGUGUCCUCCAGAGACAAGAUAUCCAGUGAGAACCACUGCUUGGGGAAUGGGUGUUGACAAACCAGACAGAAGACUUGGAGUGGCUGUAUUCUGGAUACUAUGGAGCUGCUCCAGAAGACGAAGGAUACAGAAGGAUUAGUGUGUCCAAGAUGCUUCAGAGCAGUGUGGUGAGUCACGUGUAGGACUGUCUGCCGGUGACUCCUGCUCCUGGGGAGGCUGAGGCAGGGGGAUUGCAACCUGGAGCCCAGAUGGGGCAACCCUGCCUCAAAAUAAAAAUAGUCA